rnacentral:rRNA from 1 species
UGAGGAAUAUUGGUCAAUGGACGCAAGUCUGAACCAGCCAUGCCGCGUGAAGGAUGAAGGCCUUCUGGGUUGUAAACUUCUUUUAUCUGGGAAGAAAACUACGAUUUCUAUUGUAGCCGACGGUACCAGAGGAAUAAGCACCGGCUAACUCCGUGCCAGCAGCCGCGGUAAUACGGAGGGUGCAAGCGUUAUCCGGAUUUACUGGGUUUAAAGGGUGUGUAGGCGGGCUUUUAAGUCAGUGGUGAAAUCUCCGGGCUCAACCCGGAAACUGCCAUUGAUACUAUUAGUCUUGAAUUCUGUUGAGGUGGGCGGAAUAAGUCAUGUAGCGGUGAAAUGCAUAGAUAUGACUUAGAACACCAAUUGCGAAGGCAGCUCGCUAAACAGAUAUUGACGCUGAGGCACGAAAGCGUGGGGAUCAAACAGGAUUAGAUACCCCCGUAGUCC